rfam:Erysiphe necator strain c c-strain-scaffold_14, whole genome shotgun sequence.
UGCGGAUUAAUGUAAAGUAACAUAAUUGGCUCAUGACCAAUAAAUAAAGGUGCAAGUCCUUUGUCCGCAU